rnacentral:rRNA from 1 species
UUCCGGUUGAUCCCGCCGGACCUGACUGCUAUCGGAUUGAUACUAAGCCAUGCGAGUCAUUGUAGCAAUACAAGGCAUACGGCUCAGUAACGCGUAGUCAACCUAACCUAUGGACGGGAAUAACCUCGGGAAACUGAGAAUAAUGCCCGAUAGAACAUUAUGCCUGGAAUGGCUUAUGUUCCAAAUGAUUUAUCGCCGUAGGAUGGGACUGCGGCCUAUCAGUUUGUUGGUGAGGUAAUGGCCCACCAAGACUAUUACAGGUACGGGCUCUGAGAGGAGUAGCCCGGAGAUGGGUACUGAGACACGGACCCAGGCCCUAUGGGGCGCAGCAGGCGAGAAAACUUUGCAAUGUGCGAAAGCACGACAAGGUUAAUCCGAGUGAUUUGUGCUAAACGAAUCUUUUGUUAGUCCUAGAAACACUAACGAAUAAGGGGUGGGCAAGUUCUGGUGUCAGCCGCCGCGGUAAAACCAGCACCUCAAGUGGUCAGGAUGAUUAUUGGGCCUAAAGCAUCCGUAGCCGGCUCUGUAAGUUUUCGGUUAAAUCUGUACGCUUAACGUACAGGCUGCCGGGAAUACUGCAAAGCUAGGGAGUGGGAGAGGUAGACGGUACUCGGUAGGAAGUGGUAAAAUGCUUUGAUCUAUCGAUGACCACCUGUGGCGAAGGCGGUCUACCAGAACACGUCCGACGGUGAGGGAUGAAAGCUGGGGGAGCAAACCGGAUUAGAUACCCGGGUAGUCCCAGCUGUAAACUAUGCAAACUCAGUGAUGCAUUGGCUUGUGGCCAAUGCAGUGCUGCAGGGAAGCCGUUAAGUUUGCCGCCUGGGAAGUACGUACGCAAGUAUGAAACUUAAAGGAAUUGGCGGGGGAGCACCACAAGGGGUGAAGCCUGCGGUUCAAUUGGAUUCAACGCCGGG